AUUGAACGCUGGCGGCAGGCCUCACACAUGCAAGUCGAGCGGAGCGGCGGACGGGUAAGUAAUGCCUAGGAAUCUGACUGGUAGUGGGGGAUAACGUCCGGAAAAGGGCGCUAAUACCGCAUACUAUCAGAUUAGCCUAGGUCGGAUUAGCUAGUUGGUGGGGUAAAGGCCUACAAAGGCGACGAUCCGUAACUGGUUUGAGAGGAUGAUCAGUCACACUGGAACUGAGACACGGUCCAGACUCCUACGGGAGGCAGCAGUGGGGAAGAUUGGACAAUGGGCGAAAUCCUGAUCCAGCCAUGCCGCGUUUGUGAAGAAGGUCUUCGGAUUGUAAAGCACGUUAAGUUGGGAGGCGUUAUCAACAGAAUAAGCACCGGCUAACUUCGUGCCAGCAGCCGCGGUAAUAC
rnacentral:rRNA from 1 species